GCCUGGGUAGCUCAAUCGGUAGAGCGUGUGACUCUUACUUCCUUAUCUUAGUAUACGAGAUCAUCUCAAGGUCGCGGGUUCUAGCCCCGCCUCGGGCU
rnacentral:tRNA from 2 species